UACGGAGGGUGCAAACGUUGCUCGGAAUCACUGGGCGUAAAGCGCACGUAGGCGGUCCGAUAAGUCGGAUGCGAAAGCCCUGGGCUCAACCUAGGAAGUGCAUUCGAAACUGUCGGACUUGAGUACGGGAGAGGGUUGCGGAAUUCCCGGUGUAGAGGUGAAAUGCGCAGAUAUCGGGAGGAACACCAGCGGCGAAGGCGGCACUCUGGGCUGGAACUGACGCUGAGGAGCGAAAGCGUGGGUAGCAAACAGG
rnacentral:rRNA from 1 species